rnacentral:rRNA from 1 species
GGACUACAGGGGUUUCUAAUCCCGUUUGCUCCCCUGGCUUUCGCGCCUCAGCGUCAGAAGUGGGCCAGGAAGUCGCUUUCGCCAUUGGUGUUCUUCCCGAUAUCUACGCAUUUCACUGCUACACCGGGAAUUCCACUUCCCUCUCCCACCCUCGAGCCUCGCAGUAUCAGCUGCCCUGCUUCGGUUGAGCCGACGCCUUUCACAGCUGACUGACGAAACCGCCUACACGCCCUUUACGCCCAGUAAAUCCGGACAACGCUUGCCACCUCUGUCUUACCGCGGCUGCUGGCAC